AUCACUUGGAAAUCUUGUUAAAAUGCAAAUUCUGAUUUAGUAGGUCUGGCGUUAGCCCUAAGAUUCUGCAUUUCUAACAGGUUCCCAGGUGAUGUCAA
rnacentral:pre_miRNA from 1 species